UACGUAGGGGGCAAGCGUUAUCCGGAUUUACUGGGUGUAAAGGGAGCGUAGACGGCAUGGCAAGCCAGAUGUGAAAACCCAGGGCUCAACCUUGGGAUUGCAUUUGGAACUGCCAGGCUGGAGUGCAGGAGAGGUAAGCGGAAUUCCUAGUGUAGCGGUGAAAUGCGUAGAUAUUAGGAGGAACACCAGUGGCGAAGGCGGCUUACUGGACUGUAACUGACGUUGAGGCUCGAAAGCGUGGGGAGCAAACAGGAUUAGAUACCCUGGUAGUCCACGCGGUAAACGAUGAUUGCUAGGUGUAGGUGGGUAUGGACCCAUCGGUGCCGCAGCUAACGCAAUAAGCAAUCCACCUGGGGAGUACGUUCGCAAGAAUGAA
rnacentral:rRNA from 1 species